UCCCAUGUAGCUCAACUGGUAGAGCAUGAGACAGACUCUUAAUCUCAGGACCAUGGAUUUGAACCCCACGUUGGGCA